CAGGAGCGGGGAGCAGUUUGGCUUCCCCCCGACUUCCCCUCCCACCUCGAGGAGGGGUUGAUGGGUGGGGAACAGGCUAGGCGGGUUGGGGGCAUGACUCAGGCUGGAGAUGGGAGGGAGGGAGGAGGGAGGCGGGACUCUUCCCCGUCUCCUCCCCUCCUCUCCCUCUCCCCGCCCCGGGGUGGGGCCCCGAAGGUCCGGGGCUUUCCCGGAUUUCCCUGGGGGCGGGGCAGCCGCUGGGGUUGAGUCCGGGUCACUGAGUCACAGGAGGCGGAGAGGGAGGCUUUGGGGACACAGGGGGCGGGGCAUGGGGGCUGCACCCCGGACUUGCCCAGGGGGCACGCGGCGUCUCUCUGGUUCUCUCCCCCGGUCUCCUUCUGUCUUCGAAACUUGCCUGACCUCCCUCUGGUUGUCUCCUGCCCCGCCCUCUGUCUCUGUCUCCCCAUCUCUGUUGCUGUCUCUGUGUCCCCUGGGACCUUGAAAGUGGGUAUUGGGGCCCCGGGAAGGGACUUUGGCCGGACUCGGGCCCCACCCGAGUGGAUCGUUAACCCAGGAUGUGAGAAGUGGCUGUGUGGAGAGGCCUCACCCCUUCCCUUCCUUUCGACCUCUCUCUGGAUCUCCCUUAUCCCCCUUCAUGGCGAAACAUCCCGAGCACAGACCUGUGUUAAUUCCACCUCCACCCCUUGCUCCCGGUGGGACCUCAGACAAGCCAUCCCCUGCCUUGAGACUCAGUUUGUUCUUCUGGAAAAUGGGACCAAUGGCAACCCCUGCCUGCUGGUGUUGUGGGGGCCACAGCAAGGGAAGAGGGGAGGAAUUCGGUUGGACAGGCUGGGGGCUGUGUUCCCUGCCCAUCCAACCCCACCCCUGGGGACCCUCAGACACAGGAGAGGGGUGUGGAGCACUAUCCCAAUGCACAGAAAGGAAAGCUGAGGUUUGGAGGGGCGAGGCUUAGGGUGGGGACCCUCAGAGGUAGGGUGGGAAGGACACCCAAGCCUGUCCCACUCCUGGCAUCCCAGGGCAGCUGGUGCAGUGGUUCCAACCUAGCAGGACUGUAGAGGGGAGAAGAUGUGAUGGGUCCGGUGGGAGCUUCGAAGGGCUGGGAGAGACGGUGCUGCUGGAAGAGAGGGUGCUGAUGGUUCUCUGAGGUUGGAAGAGGGAUAAAAGGGUCAGAAGGAGGAGGAUCUGAAGAAGGAAGAUAGGUCUGAGAGAGAAGUAGAUGGUUUAGUGGGAGGAGGGGGAGAGGAUCUGAAGGAGGAGGACAGGGUCUGUUGGAGGAGGUAAGGGUCUGAUGGAGGAAAUAAGGGUCUGAGGGUGGAGGCGAGGUUUGGAGGGAGGAGGUGAAGGUCUGAGGGAGGAGACAAGGGUCUGAAGGAGGAGAUAAGAGUCUGAGGAAGGAGGCGAGGGUUUGAGAGAGGAGGUGAGGGUCUGAAGGAGGAGGUGAGGGUCUGAAGGAAGGAGGUGGGGGUCUGAGGGAGGAGGUAAGGGUCUGAGGGAGGAGGAGAGAGUUGGAGGGGAAAGAAGGGUCUGAGGAAAGAAGAUUUGGAGAGAGUCUGAGGGUAGAGGCCAGAUCUGAGGGAGAAGAAAGAGGCUCAGGGGAAAAGAUCUGAGGGUCCGAGGGUGGAAGGCAUGGACUAGGGGAGGAGGAGCUGGUGGGGUGGAGGGGUGGAGAGGCGUGCCUCCGGAGCCAGCAGGGACCAAGGGGAGGGAAGGGAAGGGAGGCUGGGAGGCAGCCCCGCCCUGCAGCUGUCUCUAAUUUCCCAGAAUCUUCUGCUCUCAGGAAAGUCCCAGCUCCCACAGCAGCCUCCCUCCAAUGUCGGGAACGGAGGAUGCGGAACCAGGAUGGCCACCCCCACCCUCCCCCGGCUCCUUGCACCCCAGGCGGAAAGGACUAGGGUCUCCUUUCUCUGGGCCUUGGCCUCUGGAGGGCCCCCACCCGCAGGGGCAGCCCCUGGAUGAGUCUUAGAAACUUCCCAGAGGAGGCCAGGAAGUUCUGCUUGGUGUCUAACCACUUUCCCCUCAUGCAGGCCGCCCUUUGUACCUGUUCAGAUCUCCUCCCCAGCUGCUGUUUCUUUUUCCCCAACCCAUCCUGGGGGAGGAAAGGCCAGGAAUUUACCUGCUCAAAGUCCUGAGAGGGAAACGAAAUUCCAUCUGGAAGUCUGUAGGCUUGAGGCAGCUUUCUUGCUCUCAGGGGCCUCAAUUUCCCUUUCUAAGAGGAGAGAGUAGGGCUGGUCAGGGCCUAAGUUCCCAUCUGGCUCAAUUACUGGGUCUUGUCCUGCUUUUUUUUUGAGACAAGAUCUGGCUCUGUCUCCCAGGCUGAAGUGCAGUGGUGAGAUCAUAGCUCACUGUAGCCUUGAACUCCUGGACUCAAAUGAUCCUCCUGCCUCAACCUCCCAAGUAGGUGGGACUACAGGCAUGUGCCGCAAUGACUGGCUAAUAAAAAAAACAAUUUGUAGACUCAGGGGGUCUCACUGUGUUGCCCAGGGUGUUCUCGAACUCCUGGGCUCAAGCGAACCUCCCUCCUCGGUCUCCCAAAGUGCUGGGAUUACAGGCGUGAGCCACCGCAUCUGGCUU
rnacentral:lncRNA from 10 species